GGCUGCAAGCUCCAAAUCUUCUUUCACUUGAGCUGUGACUAUAUUUGGUAGGGUAGAUAGAUCAAGAAGGGCUUUGUGAGCCUUUUGUGUGGCCAAGAAUAACUCCAAUUUUGGCUUUCCACAAGCCAAAAUCACCCUUUCUAUUGAAUUUCUCCACUUUAAAUCUUGCUACUAUAAUUAUUUCUCUGAAUCUUGAAUCUUGAUUCUCGAAAAACUGAAAUCUUUAAUUGUCUUUGCUCUGUUACCAAUUUUGUUGGCCUAAUGGUUUAUUUUAGGCCCAAACAAUGGAAGAAUUCUGGUCCAAGAAUUGGGUUAGGUGAACUGAAAGGCUAUGAAGAGACCACGUAGCUGAGCUUGAUGAAGGAUAUGCGUGAGGUGGAUUCUUUUCUUUCAGCUGAGCAGGCAAAGAAGUUGAAAGCGGAGAAGGAGAAGAACAAGCAGAUGUACGUGCUUCGGUCUAAGAUGACCUACAUCCACGGAAAGGGAGAACUCACUUUUACUGAAGGCCUUUUACACGAAGAUAAGUCUUCAACUUACAGAUUUCUUUCUUAAAUAAAAGAUCUUACUCUAGAUUUUUAUGUAGAUCUAUUUAUACAGAAUAUGUAAGACUGUUACAAGUUGUUAAAGAUAGUGUAAAGUAGUAAAACUAGCUAUUGAGAUCAUUGUUGCUUCAUGAAGUAUAGAGCUUAAUUGGUCUAAUUGGUGUACAGCAAGUGACGACAAUUGGAGUAACCUUCCGUGAGCAUCUUUUUCCGAGAGCAUUUUUUAACCUUUAUGGUAUUAGUUUAUGGGGCUACGACCGGAUUAUGCCGUACGGCCGUUAUGAGAAGAAAAGAUGAAAGAAGUGUUUCUUUUUCAUUGUUUAUCUUAAGCUAUCGUGAUACUUGAAAGCAAAUAACUUUUGUAAACUCCAUUAUAGUAGAAUCUAUAAUUAUAAUAAGUUCGAUGUAGCUUCAAGAUUGGCUGAAUCAAUAUAGUUAUAUUUUACCAA